UUCAUGGGUAUCUGGGUCCUGGUGGAGUUAGUGGCACUCGGGAGUGGGAAUGGGAGAAAGGGGCAGCAUGAUCUUACUAUGCAGACUGUAUUUCCAGAAACCUGCUCAGCCAGCUCCUGAUGGAGAACACAUGCAGGAAGAAGUUGGUCCCACUGAAGCAGGAGAGCAAGGAGGUACAUCUUGAUUGUGCACUGAACCAGAAAUAUUUGGUUGACUUCAACAAGAAAGAUAAAGACCAGCAACGUCCAGACCCAGCAUCAUCUGGUCUCAGAAAGUGCAAGAGAGCUGGAAUUGGACACACACCAGUAAGAGAGCUUCCUGAAGAAUAAAUUGUUUUCUCAGGAGUCCCUGAUGACAAACAUCCUGAAUGAAAACAGCACUUGAGAGACAACUUGGGGGACCUCCUUUCAUUAUGUGUGCAAGAGGAGAAACAGCAAUACAUCUGUGCUUCUAAAUGUUCGUUAAGAAUGUGCUGUGUAGAAAUAUUUUUGUUAUG